AAUUUCGGGUAAUUGGGCGUAACUUAUGUUGCGUCAGGAAAGUCCAUGCUCGCACAGGCUGUGAUGCCUGUAGUGUUCGUGCUCAGUGAAAAAAUAAGCUGAGGUACCUCUUUGAGGUAACGGCGGGAAAAAACGGCUACGGUUUCGGCUAUGCCUGAGUAUCCCUGAAAAGUGCCACAGUGACGAUACCAGUUCGGAAACGGACUGGGUGGAACGCGGUAAACCCCUCGAGCGGGAAACCCAAACUACGGUAGGGGAGCUUCACAUAGGUAACUGAACUGAUUGUGGGGGAGGACUUUGUGUCCUGAGAUAGAUGAUUACCACGGAGUAAGCUGCGCCUGAGGCUUACGAUGUACAAAACAUGGCUUACAGAA
rnacentral:RNase_P_RNA from 2 species